GACGAACGCUGGCGGCGUGCCUAAUACAUGCAAGUCGAGCGAAUCAAUAGGAGCUUGCUCCUGUUGGUUAGCGGCGGACGGGUGAGUAACACGUGGGCAACCUGCCUGUAAGACUGGGAUAACACCGGGAAACCGGUGCUAAUACCGGAUAAUCCUUUUCCUCUCAUGAGGAAAAGCUGAAAGUCGGUUUCGGCUGACACUUACAGAUGGGCCCGCGGCGCAUUAGCUAGUUGGUGAGGUAACGGCUCACCAAGGCGACGAUGCGUAGCCGACCUGGGAGGGUGAUCGGCCACACUGGGACUGAGACACGGCCCAGACUCCUACGGGAGGCAGCAGUAGGGAAUCUUCCACAAUGGACGAAAGUCUGAUGGAGCGACGCCGCGUGAGCGAUGAAGGCCUUCGGGUCGUAAAGCUCUGUUGUUAGGGAAGAACAAGUACCGGAGUAACUGCCGGUACCUUGACGGUACCUAACCAGAAAGCCACGGCUAACUACGUGCCAGCAGCCGCCGUAAAAC
rnacentral:rRNA from 1 species